GAUUCACUUUAAGACGCAGCUGAAGGAAACAGGAAGACGGCGCGUCAUAAUCAUUGUGAUGUAACACUUCCACCUACCAAUAAGAACUGGCCGCUGGAUUUAGAGGAAUACAAAACACUGAACUUCACCGAAAAAAAAACCCCGGCAAUGGCUGGAUAUUGACAGUCAAAGACGGCUUGUUAUAACACCUUCCCAGCAAUCUGCAAGUGAAGGUUGAUGGGCGCUUUCGUUAUUAGGUGCACUACACUAUUCAAAUAAGGACAGUUGUCUCAAAUGCCUCUCCUUUAAGUGGGACAGUCGCUAAUUCCGGAUAUUUUUUUACUUCUCCGGAGGUCUCCCGAUAAAGCAGCGCUGACUGUAACGACAGAUUGAACGCAUAGGACAGCGAGGAAGCAGACUUGGUCUAUAUUGACAGACAACAUUCAGUGGACGUGUACUAGAAUGGAGAUUUUCUUUC